CUGUUUGUAGUGCAGUAGGCCAAUAGCAUGAUAAUGGCAACAGGUCCUACCAUAUUUCCUACAGCCCUGAGGAGCCAGGCUUGUAUGCUGUCUGCAUCUAUGUGAAAGGGCAGCAUGUACAGGACUCUCCAUCCACUCUGAUGGUGAAAAACAAGGCCCAUGAGCAUGGAGGCGUGUGUCACUGCUGCAUGUUCUGCUCAGGCAGAGGGCAGACCAGAAAGCUGCUUGCUGUGCCUGUGGGGGGACCAUGUCAGGUAGGUACCAAGGCUGAGGCGAUGGACACAAAGGUCACUCUGGCUGCCCCCACUGGUCGUGCUGUGGGGAAGUGAAGGAGGGCUCAGAAUGUUUGGGUGGGCCUCCCAGCGACACCUCACAGAGGAGUUUGCUCAGAACAGCGGUGCUCUGGCUCCUCUGGCACUGCUGCUGGCUGCUGCAUGACUACAAACCAUGAGGAUCCCCGCAAUCACUGCAUGGCCUCGCUGCCAGAAAACAUCAUCGUGAUGGGUGUGAACUGAGAAAGGGAAUGAGGGAAAAUAAAAAUUUGUCUUAU